UAGCAUUAAAGAUACAAAUACUCUUUAUAGUACUAUCAUCCUCACCACCAAGAAUGUUAGGGUAACAGCAGAAAAAAACAUUUACUUUUAAAGAUAAACAAAUUCACACGACAGUCAACUCUCAUUUGUUUUUCCAUUGGAAGACGGAAACAAAUGCAGGUGUGGUUAGAGUAGAAUUGUUACAGACUUAUGGUUAACUUUGAUGAGAGAGAAAAAGUAAUUUUUGUUGAAAAUUAUGAUUUGCACUCACAAGCCUAUACAAACAAUACCACACUGAACACAGUUAGGUGCAAUUCUGACCGAAACAACUUUCCCCAAAGUGUGAAGGUUUUGUAUCCUUGUGGGAAAAACAAUAUGUAGCACGUGUACAGAUAGCUAAAAGAUGUACAGAAAAAAAACUCCACAAUAAAGAACGUACAUGGGUGAGCAGACAUGUUAGCAAGGACUAUAACCCAGCAAAUUUAAUAUUCUUACAGAAUGGUUUAACAAAAGCAGAAGAGGGGUCAAGCCAAUACCCACGAGACAGAGCAACAUUUAACGUUUAUGGUCGUUACAGACAUGGUUCUCCUGUACGUUUUAACAAGUGGAGAAUUUCUUGGGAAGAGUAUCCAGAGGAUGUCUUCCCUCUGUACACAAGUGGCCUGACUUACGUGUUUGGCAGAGAAGCACUGAAGGUUAUGGUGGAAUACAUCCCUUACGUACCUUACUUGAAAAUGGAGGACGUAUUUACCACUGGGCUCCUUUCACAUGCAGCUCAGGUCGACCUCGUGGAUCUCGGCGACAGGGUCGAGUACGAGGAGACUUCGGACCCCAAGUUUAAGAGGCAGGUCUUCUUGAAGCAAAUAGAUGAUAAGAUCAGACGAGAAGCUUGGGAGGGCGUACUUCAAAGGGCUCCCGUCUACGUCAGUGUUCUUGGAACGCCGUGGACUUGACUCCUGUUAUGUCGCUGCAUUUUUUUUUUUUUUUUUUUGCUUUUCGUGAGUGCUGACAGUGUUCCAAGUGUGUAAAUCACGACGUCACUAAAGUUAGCAAGGACGAAAUAAGUGAUCUCAGAUACCGAAUCUGUCGAUUUUGUGGGUGGUGUUUCAUUCCCCCAAGGGAAGGGGCUCCCAAAGCUUUCAAUUUGGUCAUCUACCAUUUUUACAAAAACAACAA